rnacentral:rRNA from 1 species
UACGGAAGGCAGCAGUGGGGAAUAUUGCACAAUGGGCGCAAGCCUGAUGCAGCCAUGCCGCGUGUAUGAAAAAGGCCUUCGGGUUGUAAAGUACUUUCAGUCGUGAGGAAGGUGUUAAGGUUAAUAACCUUAGCAAUUGACGUUAGCGACAGAAGAAGCACCGGCUAACUCCGUGCCAGCAGCCGCGGUAAUACGGAGGGUGCGAGCGUUAAUCGGAAUUACUGGGCGUAAAGGGCACGCAGGCGGUUAAUUAAGUUGGAUGUGAAAUCCCCGGGCUUAACCUGGGAAUGGCAUUCAAGACUGGUUAGCUAGAGUCUUGUAGAGGGGGUAGAAUUCCAUGUGUAGCGGUGAAAUGCGUAGAGAUGUGGAGGAAUACCGGUGGCGAAGGCGGCCCCUGGACAAAGACUGACGCUCGAUGUGCGAAAGCGUGGGGAGCAAACGAGGGAUUAGAUACC